UUGUAACUUUUAGAAGCUGUAUUUGGAUGGUCUCUGCAAGUUGACACAAUGGUUCGAUUGAUUCUCGUUUCCCUGUGUGUAAUGUCUGUAGUUUGUCAAACUAAAGAGGAAUGUGCAAAGUGGAAUUCAUUUAAAGACAUGAUUUGGGACGAAUUAAGAAUACGUAAAUCGGAGGAAAGGAUAUCAGAAUUAAGUUCCAUGAUUUCAUCCAUGAGGACACAGAUUAACCAUUUGCAGAGAAGUUCUAAAUUUCGAUGUGAGACUGGACGUUUUUCCAAAUAUAAUUCACCUCCCCCAAAGUGGCCCUUCGCACAAAGAGUGGUGUUCAAGAUUCCGUUUCAAAAUGCACCAACAGUGACAUACGGCCUUUACCUCCUUGAUGUGGGAUCAUCAAGUAACACACGUGUCAGUUCCUCCACAUCCUCUAUAACUAAAGAAGGCUUUCAACUCGUGCUUAGAUCUUGGGCCGACACUAAACUGUAUGGAGCAGGGAUCAUGUGGAUGGCAUGUGGAUAUUAAUACACACACACACACACACACACACACACACACACACACACACACACACACACACAUAUAUAUAUAUAUAUACACUUCUCUAUUAUCGGAGUAAAAUAAAGUAAAAACAACUUUUAAACACUCUCUUGAAAUAUUUCAACCAUGUAACGGGUCUCCUUCAGUCGUGUUUAUCUAUCAUAGCAACGUAACGUACGACUACAUACGCAGGAGUACUAUGGCGUAACAAUAAAUAUCACAAUACGCAACUUCCGAAAUAUCAGCUCUUCUGUGAUAGAGGUACGUUCAGUGUUCUGUUGAACGCUUGGGUGGGUAGAAGACGUUAACAUCAUUAUAUAUACUAUAGACUAACUAUGUAAAUGCGGAUAAAAGCAAUGAAAGUGUAUAUUUUGUUGAUAUCAGCCGUUGGUAUACAUUACACUGACCAUAAGGAGAAUGAUAUUUGAUUGAAUUGAUAUUGAUAUAAUAAUAUUAAUAUAAUAAUAAUAUUAAUAUAAUAUUAAUGAAUUAAUAUGAAAUUAUUUUUUUAUUUCCUCUUCUGCACGAGUGAUAUUUUAAUCAAAGAAAAAUGGUGAUUAUCGAUUUUUGUUUGAGCUAUUUUAUUAUUAGAUACUAAUAAACUUACUAAUAUUGUGUG